CCUACGGGGGGCAGCAGUGAGGAAUAUUGGUCAAUGGGCUUACGCCUGAACCAGCCAAGUCGCGUGAGGGAAGACUGCCCUAUGGGUUGUAAACCUCUUUUGUCAGGGAGCAAUUGGCGCUACGUGUAGCGUUAUCGAGAGUACCUGAAGAAAAAGCAUCGGCUAACUCCGUGGCAGCAGCCGCGGUAAUACGGAGGAUGCGAGCGUUAUCCGGAUUUAUUGGGUUUAAAGGGUGCGUAGGCGGGGUGCCAAGUCAGCGGUAAAAUCGCGGGGUUCAACCUCGCUGCGCCGUUGAAACUGGCGUUCUUGAGUGGGCGAGAAGUAUGCGGAAUGCGUGGUGUAGCGGUGAAAUGCAUAGAUAUCACGCAGAACUCCGAUUGCGAAGGCAGCAGACCGGCGGCGAUCUGACGCUGAGGCACGAAAGCGUGGGGAUCGAACAGGAUUAGAUACCCGAGUAGUC
rnacentral:rRNA from 1 species